GUGUCAGCCGCCGCGGUAAUACGUAGGGUGCAAGCGUUAAUCGGAAUUACUGGGCGUAAAGCGUGCGCAGGCGGUUAUGCAAGACAGAUGUGAAAUCCCCGGGCUCAACCUGGGAACUGCAUUUGUGACUGCAUGGCUAGAGUACGGUAGAGGGGGAUGGAAUUCCGCGUGUAGCAGUGAAAUGCGUAGAUAUGCGGAGGAACACCGAUGGCGAAGGCAAUCCCCUGGACCUGUACUGACGCUCAUGCACGAAAGCGUGGGGAGCAAACAGGAUUAGAUACCCUGGUAGUCCACGCCCUAAACGAUGUCAACUGGUUGUUGGGAGGGUUUCUUCUCAGUAACGAAGCUAACGCGUGAAGUUGACCGCCUGGGGAGUACGGCCGCAAGGUUGAAACUUAAAUGAAUUGACGGGG
rnacentral:rRNA from 1 species